AGCUCGUGUCGUGAGAUGUUGGGUUAAGGCCCGAAACGAGGGCAACCCUUGUCUUUAGUUGCCUACAUUAAGUUGGGCACUCUAGAGAGACUGCCAGGGAUAACCUGGAGGAAGGUGGGGAUGACGUAAAAUCAUCAUGCCCCUUAUGCUUAGGGCUACACACGUGCUACAAUGGGUAGUACAGAGGGUUGCCAAGCCGUAAGGUGGAGCUAAUCCCUUAAAGCUACUCUCAGUUCGGAUUGUAGGCUGAAACUC
rnacentral:rRNA from 1 species